UACAAACAAAAAGAUGGCAUGAAAAUUAAACAUAAAGAUGCAAAAAUAGGCAUAUUGCACGAAUUUUCCUAACUAAAUAACAUAAUUUUGAAAUAAAAAAAUCAUGGGGAUUUGAAUUGGUGCGUAAAAUCAAAGUUGUUUAGCCAUUUGUAGUCCUAUUGACUUUAUCGCGGUUUAAGAAAAUCAAUUUUUCCCACAGUCAGUGAACGCCUUAUGUAGAUCGGGCAAACCACGCCCCUUUUGAGCGUCACGCAACUGCUUUUUUUCUCAUUUCAAAGUAUUACCCGGGUAAAUUUCGAACUAAGUUGUGAACGGACAACAUAGAUUUACAACUCAUUUGGUAAUCAUAAUAACAAAAUGAUUAAUGUAAAAGGCAAAAUAAAAAAAAAAUAAAAUAAUUUUGGUAUAUUUUCUCAAAUUAGUAACACCUGUUCAACUAUUUUUGGACAACAGGAGCGACUUGCCACAUGUGGGGAUGCCUUCGUUCAAGGUGUUAGGUGGCUCCAGCAGCCCUGUCACACUUCUCCCAAUUCUCGACGGCCCAGGACUCAGCCGCUGUCACAACUCUUCCUGGGCUGUCAUCAGCCCAUACUCAUCCUGAAUUUCAAACAGCUGUUGGCGAGUGUGAACCUUUUUGGACCAGAAUUCCUACCCGGCCACUUGGAUGUGGAGAAAAUCCUGGUGCUCUACGCUCAGCUUUCUGCUUAAGGAUCCCAGCUGACAAGUUUGCUCCUUUGCAAGUAGUUUUGAACAGUACAGAACA